rnacentral:rRNA from 1 species
GACAGAGGGUGCAAACGUUGUUCGGAAUUACUGGGCGUAAAGCGUGUGUAGGCGGUCCGCUAAGUCGGGUGUGAAAGCCCCGGGCUCAACCUGGGAAUUGCAUUCGAGACUGCGUAGCUAGGGUGCGGAAGAGGGAAGCGGAAUUUCCGGUGUAGCGGUGAAAUGCGUAGAUAUCGGAAGGAACACCAGUGGCGAAAGCGGCUUCCUGGUCCAGCACCGACGUUCAGGCACGAAAGCGUGGGGAGCAAACAGG